GUAGGUGGCAAGCGUUGUCCGGAAUUAUUGGGCGUAAAGCGCGCGCAGGUGGUUCUUUAAGUCUGAUGUGAAAGCCCCCGGCUCAACCGGGGAGGGUCAUUGGAAACUGGGGAACUUGAGUGCAGGAGAGGAAAGUGGAAUUCCACGUGUAGCGGUGAAAUGCGUAGAUAUGUGGAGGAACACCAGUGGCGAAGGCGACUUUCUGGCCUGUAACUGACACUGAGGCGCGAAAGCGUGGGGAGCAAACAGGGAUUAGAUACCCUGGUAGUCCACGCCGUAAACGAUGAGCGCUAAGUGUUGGGGGGGUUUCCCGCCCCUCAGUGCUGCAGCUAACGCAUUAAGCACUCCGCCUGGGGAUACGGUCGCAAGACUG
rnacentral:rRNA from 1 species